UACAGAGGUCUCAAGCGUUGUUCGGAUUCAUUGGGCGUAAAGGGUGUGUAGGUGGCGCGCUAAGUCGGGUGUGAAAUUUCGGAGCUUAACUCCGAAACUGCAUUCGAUACUGGCGUGCUUGAGGACUGGAGAGGAGACUGGAAUUCAUGGUGUAGCAGUGAAAUGCGUAGAGAUCAUGAGGAAGACCAGUGGCGAAGGCGGGUCUCUGGACAGUUCCUGACACUGAGACACGAAGGCCAGGGGAGCAAACAGG
rnacentral:rRNA from 1 species